rnacentral:misc_RNA from 1 species
ACAAAGAUUUUAGUCAACAGCAAACUUUAAAUUGAUACGGUUGUAUUAAACGGAUUGAUAAUAAAUAAAUAUUCACACACAGAGUAUUUGAAUUGUCUGUAAAAAAAAACAAAAUAUAAAGAAAUUUAAAGGAAAAAUUUAUAAAAUUAAAAAGCAAAAAUAUUAAAAAAAAAGUUUAAUUAAAAAAACUUGAAAAAAUAUUUUAAAAAAGAAAUAUAAUUCUUUUAUAAAAAGUAAUUUUACAAAAAAAUAAAUAGAAUUGCAAAUAAUAUAAAAAGUGAUUUAUUAAAGUGUAUGUGUACUUGUUUGUGUGGAGUACAAUCUCUCGAGUGUAUAAAAAUAAACCUCAAAAAAAGUGAAAAAAUUUAAAACGUAAACAGCUGAUAAUUGAAGGAAAUAAUUUAAUUUAUUUAUAACAAAAAAAUAAAGGUCAUUUUCAUUUGCAGCAUAAACAUAAACAACAAAAUUAAAUUAAACGAAAUAUAUUAAACAAUAUAAUAUAAUAUAAAAAUACAUACUUUUAGGCGGAAAUAUAACAAUAAGGUGUAAUUACAAUUAAAACCAUAAACAAUUCUUAUGCAAACACAUACAUAUAACAAAUAAUUGAUUUAAUUAAUAUAUAUAUACAUAAAGCAAAAGAAGGCAAAUACAUUUCAACAUAAACUGAUUUUUAAAUGAAAACAUUAAAAAACAACAAAUCUAGUGAUAUUUGAAAUAAAAAUUGUGAAAAAAAAAAUAAAAUAACAUAAACUAUUAUUUGUUAAAUAAAACCACCUGUAUGUUUGUGUUUAAAUGCAUUUGUCUGUGUUUAAAAUAAACGACCAACAAAACAAACAAGCAAAAUUCAUAGCAUAGUUUAUGGCAGCCUCAUAAUAAUAAUAAUAAUACUCAAAUAUUGAAGGCAAGCGAAGCAAACGAACAAAUAGACAGAAAUAUAAUUGGCAAAAAACCUAGGAAAGUGUUGAGUGCAUAUUUUUGUUAUUCCUAUAGCGAGCAUUAAGGCCAUUUAAAUGCAAAAAUAAAAAGCAGAAAAAAAGAAAAAAAAAACAUUUUAUUAAAUAAAUAUCGUAAUUUUGUUGCCGUGCUGUGUUUUAUAUAACCCGCAGUUGUUUUGGUAUUUGGUUUAAGCCACCACUUAUCAACGGCUUAAAUAUCAAAUAAUAUUAUCAGACCCCAUACAGCUAAAAACCAAGCGAACAAUUUCAAAAAAAUAAAAAAAAAACAUUUACAAACAUAUUUGCCAUUUAUUUAACUUUUUGUGUGUAAAUGUAUUUGUACAUUCAUAUGUUUGGUUAACUCUCAUUGUCAACAAUAAACAAUAAAAUUGAAAAUAAUAACAACAGCAACAACAACAACAACAACCACAACGCGUUCCCCCAGAAAUUUUUACAACUCUACAGCAUCUAGUUUUUUUUUCUUUUUUCUUGUAUAAAAAACUAUAAAAACAUUACGUUUUCAUCAUCAUGGGAUUAAUACGUUAUUUUCUGUAUUGUAUACUGCUGAUAAAUGGUGUAUUGCAUACAUCUAGGCUUAAAACAAUGAUGUAUGUAAAUGCUGCACCGGGAGAUAUUGAAGGUAUGUACUGAAUCGCUUAUAAAUAUAUUUAUUUGUAAUUCUUGACGCUCAACACCCGUGAUAACCUUUGAUCAUUAGGCAAUUUUUUUUAAUAUAUUUGUUGAGGGGUAA